rnacentral:rRNA from 1 species
GAUGAACGCUGGCGGCGUGCCUAAUACAUGCAAGUCGAGCGAACGGACGAGAAGCUUGCUUCUCUGAUGUUAGCGGCGGACGGGUGAGUAACACGUGGAUCACCUACCUAUAAGACUGGGAUAACUUCGGGAAACCGUAGCUAAUACCGGAUAAUAUUUUGAACCGCAUGGUUCAAAAGUGAUUGACGGUCUUGCUGUCACUUAUAGAUGGAUCCGCGCUGCAUUAGCUAGUUGGUAAGGUAACGGCUUACCAAGGCAACGAUGCAUAGCCGACCUGAGAGGGUGAUCGGCCACACUGGAACUGAGACACGGUCCAGACUCCUACGGGAGGCAGCAGUAGGGAAUCUUCCGCAAUGGGCGAAAGCCUGACGGAGCAACGCCGCGUGAGUGAUGAAGGUCUUCGGAUCGUAAAACUCUGUUAUUAGGGAAGAACAUAUGUGUAAGUAACUGUGCACAUCUUGACGGUACCUAAUCAGAAAGCCACGGCUAACUACGUG